GUGUGGACGGAGUCGGCGAAGAAGGAAUGACAUGGAGGCAGCGUUCAGUUGAUCAGCAUAGCAAGGUUCUCCUGCCAGAUUCUGUAGCCAUGUUCUCUAGCCAGGUUCUCCUGCCAUGCUCUGUCUAGGUUCUCCAGCCAAGAUCUGCAGCCAGGUUCUGUCCAGGAUC